rnacentral:rRNA from 1 species
ACGUACAGUUGAAGCUUGCAGAAAGUACGGGAUCUCGUCUGUUCUCUGGCCAACCUACAAAGCGCUGGGAUAGUAUCAUGGUGGACGACCACAUGGGAAUCACCAGUGUUGCGUGCC